AUCGUUGAAACAGCAGCGAUCCGGAUUGGCGUCCGGAACAGUACUGGCGGACAACCGCCAAUCGGCGGUUUUUUU
rnacentral:sRNA from 1 species